CGGGCUUGAAUUGCUGGUGACAGGGACAGAGAUGUUCCUUUCUUCGGACACCAGUGAAGGUGCUGCAUGGUUGUCGUCAGCUCGUGCCGUGAGGUGUCGGCUUAAGUGCCAUAACGAGCGCAACCCCUGCCGCCAGUUGCCAUCAGUUGAUGCUGGGCACUCUGGCGGGACUGCCGUCGCAAGGCGUGAGGAAGGUGGGGACGACGUCAAAUCAGCACGGCCCUUACGUCCGGGGCUACACACGUGUUACAAUGGGGGGCACAGCGAGUUGCUGCCUGGCGACAGGUGGCGGAUCUUGAAAUCCCCUCUCAGUUCGGACUGGAGUCUGGAACCCGACUCCACGAAGCUGGAUUCGCUAGUAAUCGCGCAUCAGCCAUGGCGCGGUGAAUACGUUCCCGGGCC
rnacentral:rRNA from 1 species